rnacentral:lncRNA from 10 species
CCUGAAGGCGCGGGGCUCCCCCGCCCCGGGGAAAGGCACCCGUGGGAGGCAGGAAAUGGAGACCAGAGGUGAACCUGCAUGUUUUGGAAUGCAUUCCAUUCUAACUUAACCCCCAAGGAGCAGAAACCCAAGCUGGGAAGGAGGAGCCCCAGAAAGAGGGAGAAGGAGACUGCACUCUCUUCUCCCGCCAGAGGCCUCAAGCAGUUCUGAGCUGAAGGAAUAGAGCAGCUUCCUUGUGAGCAUUCCCCUAAUAUGUCACCUGCACCUGAAUGCAGGGCUCGGAUUCGGCUUCUGGUGGACCUGGCUGAAUCAGUCAAUAUCAGCUGGAUGAAUGAAGAACUUUUACUG